AGAGUUUGAUCCUGGCUCAGGACGAACGCUGGCGGCGUGCCUAAUACAUGCAAGUAGAACGCUGAAGAAAGGAGCUUGCUUCUUUUGGAUGAGUUGCGAACGGGUGAGUAACGCGUAGGUAACCUGCCUUGUAGCGGGGGAUAACUAUUGGAAACGAUAGCUAAUACCGCAUAACAGCUUUUGACACAUGUUAGAAGCUUGAAAGAUGCAAUUGCAUCACUACGAGAUGGACUGCGUUGUAUUAGCUAGUAGGUAGGGUAACGGCCUACCUAGGCGACGAUACAUAGCCGACCUGAGAGGGUGAUCGGCCACACUGGGACUGAGACACGGCCCAGACUCCUACGGGAGGCAGCAGUAGGGAAUCUUCGGCAAUGGGGGCAACCCUGACCGAGCAACGCCGCGUGAGUGAAGAAGGUUUUCGGAUCGUAAAGCUCUGUUGUAAGAGAAGAACGUGUGUGAGAGUGGAAAGUUCACACAGUGACGGUAACUUACCAGAAAGGGACGGCUAACUACGUGCCAGCAGCCGCGGUAAUACGUAGGUCCCGAGCGUUGUCCGGAUUUAUUGGGCGUAAAGCGAGCGCAGGCGGUUUAAUAAGUCUGAAGUUAAAGGCAGUGGCUUAACCAUUGUUCGCUUUGGAAACUGUUAAACUUGAGUGCAGAAGGGGAGAGUGGAAUUCCAUGUGUAGCGGUGAAAUGCGUAGAUAUAUGGAGGAACACCGGUGGCGAAAGCGGCUCUCUGGUCUGUAACUGACGCUGAGGCUCGAAAGCGUGGGGAGCAAACAGGAUUAGAUACCCUGGUAGUCCACGCCGUAAACGAUGAGUGCUAGGUGUUAGGCCCUUUCCGGGGCUUAGUGCCGCAGCUAACGCAUUAAGCACUCCGCCUGGGGAGUACGACCGCAAGGUUGAAACUCAAAUGAAUUGACGG
rnacentral:rRNA from 1 species